UAGGGAAUCUUCGGCAAUGGACGAAAGUCUGACCGAGCAACGCCGCGUGAGUGAAGAAGGUUUUCGGAUCGUAAAACUCUGUUGUUAGAGAAGAACAAGGACGUUAGUAACUGAACGUCCCCUGACGGUAUCUAACCAGAAAGCCACGGCUAACUACGUGCCAGCAGCCGCGGUAAUACGUAGGUGGCAAGCGUUGUCCGGAUUUAUUGGGCGUAAAGCGAGCGCAGGCGGUUUCUUAAGUCUGAUGUGAAAGCCCCCGGCUCAACCGGGGAGGGUCAUUGGAAACUGGGAGACUUGAGUGCAGAAGAGGAGAGUGGAAUUCCAUGUGUAGCGGUGAAAUGCGUAGAUAUAUGGAGGAACACCAGUGGCGAAGGCGGCUCUCUGGUCUGUAACUGACGCUGAGGUUCGAAAGCGUGGGGAGCAAACAGG
rnacentral:rRNA from 2 species